AAAACUCUUAUGAACCCUUACAA
rnacentral:snRNA from 1 species